CCAGGUGUCAAGGCUCCCGCCUUCCGUGCCUGCGCCCCCGCCCGCUCCCCGGGCCCUGCACGCCGCAGUCAGUGACCGGCCCCCUAACCCUCUUUCCUGCAGUGGGCUGGUCCCAAGCUGGAGGCUGGGCCCACUUCGUCUGGGUUUUCAUUAGAGAAGGCUGAACUCAGGCGGAGGCCACGCAGAGGUGCUCCACGUCCAGACAGCUGGGUAGCGAGUAGGAAGCUCCUUAAUUUGGCAACAAUGUCUCAGAAGCUACAUGAUCCUCUUAACAAUGAAAAGAAUACGAAAAGAGAAAUGAGGUCACCCCCCAGCCCCACCUAAGCCCCCCACCACCCUGGUGACUUCUAACUGACCCGAGAGGAAGGCCUGUUCCCACUGUGCAGACGGGGCUCUGCCCGUGGAGGCUCCCCCAGUCUGCGCAGCAGCACCAGCCCCUUCACAUUCUGAUCCAGCUUCCAAACCCUGGCUCAGCAUCCCCUCCCCCUGCCCGAGACCUCUGACCUCUGCAGGCUGCCAUCCCUCUCUUUUCGGGCUUUGCUUGGAUGUCCCGUCCACACAGAAGCCUCCCGUCCCCAGCCCCCAGUUCCGGUUGGGUCCCCCAGCUGCUGUGCCUGUCUCCUGUUCAUCCUCACUAUCUCCUGCCUUCUCAGCACUCCCUGGUUGGCCGUUCUCUCUUCCCCCUAGAGCGCAAGUUCUCUGAGGGCACGGGCCGGGGCUGUCCCGUUCAUGGUCGGGACCCCAGGCCUUACCGCAGUGCCUACCAAGUGGCAGGACCGAGUGCCCUCCAGGUUCAGCAGCUCCUGCCGCAGCUGCCUCUAUGACUCCAGGCUCCUUUUAACAGAAAUCUUGUUGCCAAAAAUAGAGACGCUCUCUCACCCCCUGGAGACCAAAAGCUCCAAGAAGCUCAGGAAGGGACGGGCUUGAUUGAGUUGAAACUCCCACACGAAUUCCUAGAUACCGCCGGGGCCGAACCGUGAUUUCCAAGGCGAGUCUGACUGGCCCGUGGGUCCAAUUUGUCAGUGAUGGCGCUGGUUAAAAUGUCCAGAGUUCGGAUUCUGGGACGUCUUCAUAAGGAAUAAACAAGGUACGUCAGGACGGGCCUCCCCUCGAGGCGGUCAUCU